rnacentral:rRNA from 1 species
UACUGGGGGGGCAAGCGUUGUUCGGAAUUACUGGGCGUAAAGGGCUCGUAGGCGGCCAACUAAGUCGGAUGUGAAAUCCCCAAGCUUAACUUGGGAACUGCAUCCGAUACUGGAUGGCUUGAAUCCGGGAGAGGGAUGCAGAAUUCCAGGUGUAGCGGUGAAAUGCGUAGAUAUCUGGAGGAAUACCGGUGGCGAAGGCGGCAUCCUGGACCGGCAUUGACGCUGAGGAGCGAAAGCUAGGGGAGCAAACGGG